CACAAGCGGUGGAGUAUGUGGUUUAAUUCGAUGCAACGCGAAGAACCUUACCUGGUCUUGACAUCCCGGAGACCCUUAGGAAACUAGGGGGUGCUUCCAUCUGGAAGAAUCUGGAGACAGGUGCUGCAUGGCUGUCGUCAGCUCGUGUCGUGAGAUGUUGGGUUAAGUCCCGCAACGAGCGCAACCCUUGCCUUUAGUUGCCAGCAGUUCGGCUGGGCACUCUAAAGGGACUGCCGGUGUUAAACCGGAGGAAGGUGGGGAUGACGUCAAGUCCUCAUGGCCUUUAUGACCAGGGCUACACACGUACUACAAUGGCCGAUACAAAGGGCAGCGACACUGCGAGGUGAAGCCAAUCCCGUAAAAUCGGUCUCAGUCCGGAUUGGAGUCUGCAACUCGACUCCAUGAAGUCGGAAUCGCUAGUAAUCGUGGAUCAGCAUGCCACGGUGAAUACGUUCCCGGGCCUU
rnacentral:rRNA from 1 species